rnacentral:rRNA from 1 species
UACGGGGGGGGCAAGCGUUGUUCGGAAUUACUGGGCGUAAAGGGCUCGUAGGCGGCCAACUAAGUCAGACGUGAAAUCCCCAGGCUCAACUUGGGAACUGCGUCUGAUACUGGAUGGCUUGAAUUCGGGAGAGGGAUGCAGAAUUCCAGGUGUAGCGGUGAAAUGCGUAGAUAUCGGGAGGAACACCGGUGGCGAAGGCGGCGAUCUGGGUCGAUACUGACGCUGAGGUGCGAAAGCGUGGGGAGCAAACAGG